rnacentral:rRNA from 1 species
UACGAAGGGGGGCUAGCGUUGUUCGGAAUCACUGGGCGUAAAGGGCGCGUAGGCGGCCGCUCAAGUCGGGGGUGAAAGCCUGUGGCUUAACCACAGAAUUGCCUUCGAUACUGUUUGGCUUGAGACCGGAAGAGGUGAGUGGAACUGCGAGUGUAGAGGUGAAAUUCGUAGAUAUUCGCAAGAACACCUAUGGCGAAGGCGGGUCUCUGGGCCGAUACUGACGCUGAGGAGCGAAAGCGUGGGGAGCGAACAGG